UACGUAGGGUGCGAGCGUUGUCCGGAAUUACUGGGCGUAAAGAGCUCGUAGGUGGUUUGUCGCGUUGUCCGUGAAAACUCACAGCUUAACUGUGGGCGUGCGGGCGAUACGGGCAGACUGGAGUACUGCAGGGGAGACUGGAAUUCCUGGUGUAGCGGUGGAAUGCGCAGAUAUCAGGAGGAACACCGGUGGCGAAGGCGGGGUCUCUGGGCAGUAACUGAC
rnacentral:rRNA from 1 species